AUGGCGGCCUUCUCUUCCGAGUGG
rnacentral:siRNA from 1 species